rnacentral:rRNA from 1 species
UACGGGGGGGGCAAGCGUUACUCGGAAUUACUGGGCGUAAAGCGUGCGUAGGUGGUUCGUUAAGUCUGAUGUGAAAGCCCUGGGCUCAAACUGGGAAUGGCAUUGGAUACUGGCGAUCUAGAGUGCGGUAGAGGGGUGUGGAAUUCCCGGUGUAGCAGUGAAAUGCGUAGAUAUCGGGAGGAACAUCUGUGGCGAAGGCGACACCCUGGACCAGCACUGACACUGAGGCACGAAAGCGUGGGGAGCAAACAGG